GAUUUUCCGGUUGAUCCUGCCGGAGGUUACUGCUAUCGAGGUUCGACUAAGCCAUGCGAGUCGAAUGUAGCAAUACAUGGCGAACUGCUCAGUAACACGUGGACAACCUGCCCUUAGGUUGGGUAUAAACCCGGGAAACUGGGUAUAAUACCCGAUAGGUCUCGAUUGCUGGAAUGCAUCGAGAUUUAAAGCUCCGGCGCCUAAGGAUGGGUCUGCGGCCUAUCAGGUAGUAGUGGGUGUAGCGUACCUACUAGCCUACGACGGGUACGGGUUGUGAGAGCAAGAGCCCGGAGAUGGAUUCUGAGACACGAAUCCAGGCCCUACGGGGUGCAGCAGGCGCGAAAACUUUACAAUGCUGGCAACAGCGAUAAGGGAACCUCGAGUGCCAGGUUACAAAUCUGGCUGUCGAGAUGCCUAAAAAGCAUUUCAUAGCAAGGGCCGGGCAAGACCGGUGCCAGCCGCCGCGGUAACACCGGCGGCUCGAGUGGUAACCGUUAUUAUUGGGUCUAAAGGGUCUGUAGCCGGCCGGAUAAGUCUCUUGAGAAAUCUGGCAGCUUAACUGUCAGGCUUUCAGGAGAUACUGUCUGGCUCGAGGCCGGGAGAGGUGAGAGGUACUUCAGGGGUAGGGGGUGAAAUCUUGUAAUCCUUGAAGGACCACCAGUGGCGAAGGCGUCUCACCAGAACGGACCUGACGGCAAGGGACGAAAGCUAGGGGCACGAACCGGAUUAGAUACCCGGGUAGUCCUAGCCGUAAACGAUACUCGCUAGGUGUCGGCCACGGUGCGACCGUUGUCGGUGCCGUAGGGAAGCCGUGAAGCGAGCCACCUGGGAAGUACGGCCGCAAGGCUGAAACUUAAAGGAAUUGGCGGGGGAGCACCACAACGGGUGGAGCUUGCGGUUUAAUUGGAUUCAACGCCGGAU
rnacentral:rRNA from 1 species